ACGCUCGACACCUACGGGAGGCAGCAGUUGGGAAUAUUGGACAAUGGAGGAAACUCUGAUCCAGUGACGCCGCGUGAAGGAAGAAGGUCUUCGGAUUGUAAACUUAUUUUGUCAGGGAAGAAAAAUGACUGUACCUGAAGAAAAAGCACCGGCUAACUACGUGCCACCAGCCGCGGUAAUCUGAGCGGGCUGGCAAGGC
rnacentral:rRNA from 1 species